rnacentral:lncRNA from 1 species
GUUGGAGGUAGGUAACGCUUUUUCGAGUAUUGCUAUUUUUGAAAAAUGUGAGCAGUAUUGAUACUCUUUAGUAAAAAGAGCUAUAACUAGAGUAGUAGUACUUUGUGGUAUUAUACAUGGUACUUAUAGUACUAGGCCGUGCUCUUGAAGUCAAGAAAUAAAAGAACACCAUACAACAAAGAGUGUCAAUACUCUUUAGAUUAGACUGUUAUAGAAGUAAACAUACGAUUUAAGGUGGAAAAAAAUCUGUUUUAUACAAAUUGAAGUAACUAUCUUUGAGUAUCAAAACUCUCUUCCAAAUAAAAUGAG